rnacentral:rRNA from 1 species
AGCGAACGCUGGCGGCAGGCCUAACACAUGCAAGUCGAACGAACUCUUCGGAGUUAGUGGCGGACGGGUGAGUAACACGUGGGAACGUGCCUUUAGGUUCGGAAUAACUCAGGGAAACUUGUGCUAAUACCGAAUGUGCCCUUCGGGGGAAAGAUUUAUCGCCUUUAGAGCGGCCCGCGUCUGAUUAGCUAGUUGGUGAGGUAAAGGCGCACCAAGGCGACGAUCAGUAGCUGGUCUGAGAGGAUGAUCAGCCACAUUGGGACUGAGACACGGCCCAAACUCCUACGGGAGGCAGCAGUGGGGAAUUUUGCGCAAUGGGCGAAAGCCUGACGCAGCCAUGCCGCGUGAAUGAUGAAGGUCGUAGGAUUGUAAAAUUCUUUCACCGGGGACGAUAAUGACGGUACCCGGAGAAGAAGCCCCGGCUAACUUCGUGCCAGCCGCCGCAGUAA